GCGGCCGUAACUAUAACGGUCCUAAGGUAGCGAAAUUCCUUGUCGGUUAAAUACCGACCUGCAUGAAUGGCGUAACGAGAUGGGAGCUGUCUCAACCAGAGAUUCAGUGAAAUUGUAGUGGAGGUGAAAAUUCCUCCUACCCGCGGCAAGACGGAAAGACCCCGUGGACCUUUACUACAACUUAGCACUGCUAAUGGGAAUAUCAUGCGCAGGAUAGGUGGGAGGCUUUGAAGUAAGGGCUUUGGCUCUUAUGGAGUCA
rnacentral:rRNA from 1 species